rnacentral:rRNA from 1 species
CCUACGGGGAGCUGCAGUGGGGAAUAUUGCGCAAUGGGCGAAAGCCUGACGCAGCGACGCCGCGUGAGGGAUGAAGGUCUUCGGAUCGUAAACCUCUGUCAGCAGGGAAGAACGGUCACUGUGCUAAUCAGCCGUGAAUUGACGGUACCUGCAAAGGAAGCACCGGCUAACUCCGUGCCAGCAGCCGCGGUAAUACGGAGGGGGCGAGCGUUGAUCGGAAUUACUGGGCGGAAAGCGCUCGUAGGCGGUAUGUCAAGUCUAGGGUGAAAUCCGCGCGCUGAACGUGGGAACUGCAUUUGAAACUGGGAAACUUGAGUGGGUGAGAGGAUAGUGGAAUUCGAGGUGUAGGAGUGAAAUGCGUAGAUAUCUGGAGGAACAUCAGUGGCGAAGGCGACUAUCUGGCACAUAACUGACGCUGAGGAGCGAAAGCGUGGGUAGCAAACAGGAUUAGAUACCCGUGUAGUC